UACGUAGGGGGCGAGCGUUGUCCGGAUUUAUUGGGCGUAAAGAGCGUGUAGGCGGCCUGACAGGUCUGCUGUGAAAACUCGAGGCUCAACCUCGAGAUGUCGGCGGAAACCGUCUGGCUAGAGUCCGGAAGAGGAGAGUGGAAUUUCUGGUGUAGCGGUGAAAUGCGCAGAUAUCAGGAAGAACACCUAUGGCGAAGGCAGCUCUCUGGGACGGUACUGACGCUGAGACGCGAAAGCGUGGGGAGCGAACAGG
rnacentral:rRNA from 1 species